AGGAAGUAAAAAGUCGUAACAAGGUCUCCGUUGGUGAACCAGCGGAGGGAUCAUUACUGAGUUACCGCUCUAUAACCCUUUGUGAACAUACCUACAACUGUUGCUUCGGCGGGUAGGCCGUCCCCUGAAAAGGACGCCUCCCGGCCCGGACCGGACCCCCCGCGGGACCGGACCCGGCGCCCGCCGGAGGAUAACCAAACUCUAUUGUAACGACGUUUCUUCUGAGUGGCAUAAGCAAAAUAAUCAAAACUUUUAACAACGGAUCUCUUGGUUCUGGCAUCGAUGAAGAACGCAGCGAAAUGCGAUAAGUAAUGUGAAUUGCAGAAUUCAGUGAAUCAUCGAAUCUUUGAACGCACAUUGCGCCCGCCAGCAUUCUGGCGGGCAUGCCUGUUCGAGCGUCAUUUCAACCCUCAAGCUCUGCUUGGUGUUGGGGCUCUACGGUCGACGUAGGCCCUCAAAGGUAGUGGCGGACCCUCCCGGAGCCUCCUUUGCGUAGUAACAUUUCGUCUCGCACUGGGAUCCGGAGGGACUCUUGCCGUAAAACCCCCCAAUUUUUCCAAAGGUUGACCUCGGAUCAGGUAGGAAUACCCGCUGAACUUAAGCAUAU
rnacentral:rRNA from 1 species